rnacentral:rRNA from 1 species
UACGUAGGGUGCGAGCGUUGUCCGGAAUUAUUGGGCGUAAAGCGCGCGCAGGCGGUCCUUUAAGUCUGAUGUGAAAGCCCACGGCUCAACCGUGGAGGGUCAUUGGAAACUGGGGGACUUGAGUGCAGGAGAGAAGAGUGGAAUUCCACGUGUAGCGGUGAAAUGCGUAGAUAUCUGGAGGAACACCGGUGGCGAAGGCGGCAUCCUGGACCGACACUGACGCUGAGGAGCGAAAGCCAGGGGAGCAAACGGG